rnacentral:rRNA from 1 species
GACAGAGGUCCCGAGCGUUAGGCGGAAUCACUGGGCUUAAAGCGUGUGUAGGCGGAUGUCUAAGUACCUUGUGAAAUCCCACGGCUCAACCGUGGAACUGCUUGGUAUACUGGAUGUCUUGAGCCAUCUAGGGGCUACCGGAACAAAUGGUGGAGCGGUGAAAUGCGUAGAUAUCAUUUGGAACGCCAAUGGUGAAAACAGGUAGCUGGGGAUGUGCUGACGCUGAGACACGAAAGCCAGGGGAGCGAACGGG